AAGGCAUGUAACUCAAAGGAUAGAGUAUCAAAUUCCGAUUUUGAAAGUAAAGGGUUCGAAUCCCUUCAUGCCUUA
rnacentral:tRNA from 1 species